GCAAACUCUGCUUCUGAUAGUCAUGUACUUCACAGCUUUCUACUUCUUGCUGCUGAAUUACAUAUUUUUCUUUUUGUUCCUAACUUUUUUUUCUUCACUGGUUAUAGUCCUAAUGUAGUUAAUUUGUCUUGAGAGAAGAGUAAACUAUAGUAAUCUCUGGUCAGCAUAACGAAUUUUGUAAUUUUCUUUGAUAUGCCUUCAACAGCUUUGUCCUAUUUGCCUUGCCAAU
rnacentral:misc_RNA from 1 species